GAUGAACGCUGGCGGCGUGCCUAAUACAUGCAAGUCGAGCGAACGGACGAGAAGCUUGCUUUUCUGAUGUUAGCGGCGGACGGGUGUGUAACACGUGGAUCACCUACCUAUAAGACUGGGAUAACUUCGGGAAACCGGAGCUAAUACCGGAUAAUAUUUUGAACCGCAUGGUUCAAAAGUGAAAGACGGUCUUGCUGUCACUUAUAGAUGGAUCCGCGCUGCAUUAGCUAGUUGGUAAGGUAACGGCUUACCAAGGCAACGAUGCAUAGCCGACCUGAGAGAGUGAUCGGCCACACUGGAACUGAGACACGGUCCAGACUCCUACGAGAGGCAGCAGUAGGGAAUCUUCCGCAAUGGGCGGAAGCCUGACGGAGCAACGCCGCGUGAGUGGUGAAGGUCUUCGGAUCGGAAAACUCUGUUAUUAGGGAAGAACAUAUGUGUAAGUAACUGUGCACAUCUUGACGGUACCUAAUCAGAAAGCCACGGCUAACUACGUG
rnacentral:rRNA from 1 species